rnacentral:rRNA from 1 species
UUGGAGGGCAAGUCUGGUGCCAGCAGCCGCGGUAAUUCCAGCUCCAAUAGCGUAUAUUAAAGUUGUUGCAGUUAAAAAGCUCGUAGUUGAAUUUCCGGGAUCAGAGUGUCGGUCGUGCCUCGGUACGUACUGGUAUUAUUGGUUCCUACCUUCUGAAGAACCGCGAUGUCAUUAAUUUGGUGUCGUGGGGAAUCAGGACUGUUACUUUGAAAAAAUUAGAGUGUUUAAAGCAGGCUUACGCUUGAAUACAUUAGCAUGGAAUAAUGAAAUAGGACGUUUGAUUCUAUUUUGUUGGUUUCUAGGAUUGACGUAAUGAUUAAUAGGGAUAGUUGGGGGCAUUAGUAUUCAAUUGUCAGAGGUGAAAUUCUUGGAUUUAUUGAAGACUAACUACUGCGAAAGCAUUUGCCAAGGAUGUUUUCAUUAAUCAAGAACGAAAGUUAGGGGAUCGAAGACGAUCAGAUACCGUCGUAGUCUUAACCAUAAACUAUGCCGACUAGGGAUCGGAUGAUGUUAAUUUUUUAAUGACACAUUCGGCGCCUUGCGGGAAACCAAAGUGUUUGGGUUC